CACGUAGGGCGCAAGCGUUGUCCGGAAUUAUUGGGCGUAAAGAGCUCGUAGGCGGUCUGUUGCGUCCGCUGUGAAAACUCGGGGCUUAACCCCGAGCCUGCAGUGGAUACGGGCAGACUAGAGGUAGGUAGGGGAGAAUGGAAUUCCCGGUGUAGCGGUGAAAUGCGCAGAUAUCGGGAGGAACACCGGUGGCGAAGGCGGUUCUCUGGGCCUUACCUG
rnacentral:rRNA from 1 species